UAACACAUGCAAGUCGAACGGUCUUUUAGGAGACAGUGGCGGACGGGUGAGUAACGCGUAAGAAUCUACCCUCAGGUCGGGGACAACCACUGGAAACGGUGGCUAAUACCGGAUGUGCCGAGAGGUGAAAGGCUUGCUGCCUGGGGAAGAGCUUGCGUCUGAUUAGCUAGUUGGUAGUGUAAGAGACUACCAAGGCGACGAUCAGUAGCUGGUCUGAGAGGAUGAUCAGCCACACUGGGACUGAGACACGGCCCAGACUCCUACGGGAGGCAGCAGUGGGGAAUUUUCCGCAAUGGGCGAAAGCCUGACGGAGCAAUACCGCGUGAGGGAGGAAGGCUCUUGGGUUGUAAACCUCUUUUCUCAGGGAAGAAAAAAAUGACGGUACCUGAGGAAUAAGCAUCGGCUAACUCCGUGCCAGCAGCCGCGGUAAUACGGAGGAUGCAAGCGUUAUCCGGAAUGAUUGGGCGUAAAGGGUCCGCAGGUGGCAUUGUAAGUCUGCUGUUAAAGAGUUUGGCUCAACCAAAUAAAAGCAGUGGAAACUACAAAGCUAGAGUUUGGUCGGGGCAGAGGGAAUUCCUGGUGUAGCGGUGAAAUGCGUAGAUAUCAGGAAGAACACCAGUGGCGAAGGCGCUCUGCUAGGCCGAGACUGACACUGAGGGACGAAAGCUAGGGGAGCGAAUGGGAUUAGAUACCCCAGUAGUCCUAGCCGUAAACGAUGGAUACUAGGCGUAGCUCGUAUCGACCCGAGCUGUGCCGGAGCUAACGCGUUAAGUAUCCCGCCUGGGGAGUACGCAGGCAACUGUGAAACUCAAAGGAAUUGACGGGGGCCCGCACAAGCGGUGGAGUAUGUGGUUUAAUUCGAUGCAACGCGAAGAACCUUACCAAGGCUUGACAUGUCACGAAUCCUGUGGAAACAUAGGAGUGCCUUCGGGAGCGUGAACACAGGUGGUGCAUGGCUGUCGUCAGCUCGUGUCGUGAGAUGUUGGGUUAAGUCCCGCAACGAGCGCAACCCUCGUUUUUAGUUGCCAGCAUUAAGUUGGGCACUCUAGAGAGACUGCCGGUGACAAACCGGAGGAAGGUGGGGAUGACGUCAAGUCAGCAUGCCCCUUACGUCUUGGGCUACACACGUACUACAAUGCUACGGACAAAGGGCAGCUACACAGCGAUGUGAUGCGAAUCUCGGAAACCGUAGCUCAGUUCAGAUCGAAGGCUGCAACUCGCCUUCGUGAAGGAGGAAUCGCUAGUAAUUGCAGGUCAGCAUACUGCAGUGAAUUCGUUCCCGGGCCUUGUACACACCGCCCGUCACACCAUGGAAGUUGGUCACGCCCGAAGUCGUUACCCCAACCGAAAGGGGGGGGAUGCCUAAGGUAGGACUGAUGACUGGGGUGAAGUCGUAACAAGGUAGCCGUA
rnacentral:rRNA from 1 species